rnacentral:misc_RNA from 1 species
UUAUUUUUUUUUAUAAAAUUUUUUUUGGUCUAUUUGGGUUUAGGAUUUUUGAAAAUUUUUGAGUAAAUUUUAUUUUGCCUCUUCAAAGCUAUCUGUGGGUUUAGGGGGUUCGGUUGAAAAGCUUUUAUCUUUUGUGAAAAUUUUGAUUCCAUACUUGUUUAGGAAAGUUGGAAUUUCAUGUCAAUUACUGUAGUUGUUGAUUCUGUAAAACGUAAAUGGUAGGUGUUAUAUGCUCAGAAGGUGCUUGAU